CCCUUGGUGAAUCCAUAUUGACUGUUCCUGAUGACCUUCCUCUCCUCCAAGUGCUUCAAAAUGGAUUUGUUGAGGACCUGCACCAUGCUUUUUCCAGGGACUGGGG